rnacentral:rRNA from 1 species
UAACACAUGCAAGUCGAACGAAGCCUUCGGGCUUAGUGGCGGACGGGUGAGUAACACGUGGGAACAUGCCCCUGGGUACGGAACAACAGCUGGAAACGGCUGCUAAUACCGUAUGAUGUCUUCGGACCAAAGAUUUAUCGCCCAGGGAUUGGCCCGCGCUGGAUUAGGUAGUUGGUGGGGUAACGGCCUACCAAGCCUGCGAUCCAUAGCUGGUCUUAGAGGAUGAUCAGCCACACUGGGACUGAGACACGGCCCAGACUCCUACGGGAGGCAGCAGUGGGGAAUCUUAGACAAUGGGGGCAACCCUGAUCUAGCCAUGCCGCGUGAUCGAUGACGGCCUUAGGGUUGUAAAGAUCUUUCGCCGGGGACGAUAAUGACGGUACCCGGAGAAGAAGCUCCGGCUAACUUCGUGCCAGCAGCCGCGGUAAUACGAAGGGAGCUAGCGUUGUUCGGAAUUACUGGGCGUAAAGCGCGCGUAGGCGGACCUGAAAGUUGGGGGUGAAAUCCCGGGGCUCAACCCCGGAACUGCCUCC